UUCAUGUGAUUUAUCAUACAAAUUUAUUAAACUGUACAUCAGUAAACAACCUAUUUUGGAGGUAGGAUAUCAUGAAAGAGUGUUGUACUGGUGGGAAUUUUCCAAAAGUGGAUUGGCAACACUGG